rnacentral:tRNA from 1 species
AAGAUUUUAAGUUAAUUAAACUGAGGGCUUUCAAGGCCUUUAAUAAAUACAUAUAUUUAAAUCUUG